rnacentral:rRNA from 1 species
UACGGGAGUGGCAAGCGUUAUCCGGAAUUAUUGGGCGUAAAGCGUCCGCAGGCGGCCUUUUAAGUCUGUUGUUAAAGCGUGGAGCUUAACUCCAUUUCAGCAAUGGAAACUGGAAGGCUUGAGUGUGGUAGGGGCAGAGGGAAUUCCCGGUGUAGCGGUGAAAUGCGUAGAUAUCGGGAAGAACACCAGUGGCGAAGGCGCUCUGCUGGGCCAUAACUGACGCUCAUGGACGAAAGCCAGGGGAGCGAAAGGGAUUAGAUACCCCUGUAGUCCUGGCCGUAAACGAUGAACACUAGGUGUCGGGGGAAUCGACCCCCUCGGUGUCGUAGCCAACGCGUUAAGUGUUCCGCCUGGGGAGUACGCACGCAAGUGUGAAACUCAAAGGAAUUGACGGGGGCCCGCACAAGCGGUGGAGUAUGUGGUUUAAUUCGAUGCAACGCGAAGAACCUUACCAGGGUUUGACAUCCUGCGAAUCCCUUGGAAACGAGGGAGUGCCUUCGGGAGCGCAGUGACAGGUGGUGCAUGGCUGUCGUCAGCUCGUGUCGUGAGAUGUUGGGUUAAGUCCCGCAACGAGCGCAACCCACGUCGUUAGUUGCCAGCAUUCAGUUGGGCACUCUAGCGAGACCGCCGGUGAUAAACCGGAGGAAGGUGUGGAUGACGUCAAGUCAUCAUGCCCCUUACAUCCUGGGCUACACACGUACUACAAUGCUACGGACAAAGGGCAGCAAACUCGCGAGAGCUAGCAAAUCCCAUAAACCGUGGCUCAGUUCAGAUCGUAGGCUGCAACUCGCCUACGUGAAGGAGGAAUCGCUAGUAAUCGCAGGUCAGCAUACUGCGGUGAAUACGUUCCCGGGCCU